rnacentral:rRNA from 1 species
UACAGAGGUCCCAAGCGUUGUUCGGAUUUACUGGGCGUAAAGGGUGCGUAGGUGGCGGGGUAAGUCUGGUGUGAAAGCUCCGAGCUCAACUCGGAAAAGCAUUGGAAACUAUCCCGCUGGAGGGUCGGAGGGGAGACUGGAAUUCUCGGUGUAGCAGUGAAAUGCGUAGAUAUCGAGAGGAACACCAGUGGCGAAGGCGGGUCUCUGGACAGUUCCUGACGCUGAGGCGCGAAGGCCAGGGGAGCAAACGGG